GCCUGGCACGGUGGCGCGUGCCUGUAGUCCCAGCUACUCGGGAGGCUGAGGCUGGAGAAUCCCUUGAGUUCAGGAGUUCUGGGCUGUAGUGUGCUAUACCGAUCAAGUGUCCCCACUAAGUUCAGCAUCAAUAUGGUGACUUCCCCGGAGCCUAGGACCACCAGGUUGCCUAAGGAGGGGUGAACCGGCCCAGGUCGGAAACGGACCAGGUUAAAACUCCCGGGCUGAUCAGUAGAGGGAUUGCGCCUAUGAAUAGCCACUGCACUCCAGCCUGGGCAACAUAAUGAGACCUUGCCUCUU
ensembl:misc_RNA Metazoa_SRP Metazoan signal recognition particle RNA